GCGUUAUCCGGAAUUAUUGGGCGUAAAGAGCUUGUAGGCGGUUCGUCGCGUCUGGUGUGAAAGCCCAUCGCUUAACGGUGGGUUUGCGCCGGGUACGGGCGGGCUAGAGUGCAGUAGGGGAGACUGGAAUUCUCGGUGUAACGGUGGAAUGUGUAGAUAUCGGGAAGAACACCAAUGGCGAAGGCAGGUCUCUGGGCUGUUACUGACGCUGAGAAGCGAAAGCGUG
rnacentral:rRNA from 1 species